rnacentral:rRNA from 1 species
AUGAACGCUGGCGGCGUGCCUAAUACAUGCAAGUCGCGCGAACAGACGAGGAGCUUGCUCCUCUGACGUUAGCGGCGGACGGGUGAGUAACACGUGGAUAACCUACCUAUAAGACUGGGAUAACUUCGGGAAACCGGAGCUAAUACCGGAUAACAUGUUGAACCGCAUGGUUCAACAGUGAAAGACGGUCUUGCUGUCACUUAUAGAUGGAUCCGCGCCGCAUUAGCUAGUUGGUUGAGGUAAUGGCUCACCAAGGCGACGAUCAGUAGCUGGUCUGAGAGGAUGAUCAGCCACAUUGGGACUGAGACACGGCCCAAACUCCUACGGGAGGCAGCAGUGGGGAAUCUUGCGCAAUGGGCGAAAGCCUGACGCAGCCAUGCCGCGUGAAUGAUGAAGGUCUUAGGAUUGUAAAAUUCUUUCACCGGGGACGAUAAUGACGGUACCCGGAGAAGAAGCCCCGGCUAACUUCGUG